UCACCUGUUCCCCGAUGAUCUCCAAAUAUCCCAAAGGCAUCCUUCUUUCUCCUUCUCUCUAUUUUUUACAAUCUCUUAACCAUGGGUAAAAAGAUUGUUUGCUUUCGCGCUAGCAUUAGUGCUCCUUCUGAUAAUGAUUUCGCCGAUCAAAAGCUUCUCAUCUAUAACGAGACUUGUUCGUUUGAUGAUGAGGAUAUUGGGUUCCUAAAAUUCAAUGGCUCUUUUCCCAUAGAUACGAUUUUUAGGCCUUAUGAUGCUUUGAUUCAACCAUAUUUUUUUGUCUUUCUUGGGUAUGCUUUCCUGAAUACCCAUUUUCUUUGGGUUUGAAAUACCCCUUUCCAGGAAUCGUCUUUGAGUUUUUCGAAACCACAAACAUUUCAUAUAUCUAAGUUAUGUCUGUCAUAUAGAGGAUCAUAUUCCAGAUUAAUAAAUUGAACCAAUCCUAUGACCUAGGCAUAGACAUUGCUGAAUUGGCUCACGUUUACGAACUCUCCACCUUCAGGAAUUCCUGUUUAUUGCUCAAGCUCAAACCCAACAAAUCUCCACUCAUUCUGAAAUCAAAAUCAAUGACGGAGCUUGGAAAGAGAAGUAUUUUUUUAUGAGGCGUGAUACUAUUCCUAGCGGGGAUCUCCUGCCAAAGAUCUGGGUCAAAAAGGGUUGGAUUUACUCAUUAGUUGCUAGGAUCCUAAAGUUCACUUUCUUAUUUUGUUUAUUGUCAUGCAUGAUUUAAAUUUGAAGAGAUUGAUCCUCUCGUCAAGGAUACUGAAGAGAAGGUCGCAAACUUCUUCACUUUGUCUGCAGUUGAUAGGUUUUUCAAGCUCGAGCACUCCAGUAUCCAAGAGGGCUCUUCCACCACUGCUUCAAUGGCUACCGAUCCAAAUCUACUCGCUCCAGAGCUCGAUUUGGCCUCUACGCCCUGGAAGAUGACAUGACCAGCGGUUUGAUCAUGGUCAAGAAGGAAAAAGCUGCCUCCUCUCUUCUUCUAAAGAGGGAUCACGUCGAUCUUACUGUUAAGACCCCAGGCUCUUGGAAGAGGAUCGUUGAGGCCAUAGAUUUGAGCAUGGAAAACCUCGGAGCCGAGGAAGCACUCAGGAAGUUGGACUCUUUUUCUUAAGUAGUUUCUGAGCACAUCUCUCAAUCCACCGCUGACUUGAAGGCCAGAGCUGAGAAGGCUGAGCUAGACUUAAAAGAGCAGGAGAAAGUGUGUAAAUCCACCAAUAAAGAUCUCCUAAUGAGAGUAGAGUUGCUGAGUAAAGAGAAGACGAGAAGGAGGAGGAGCAUGUUGCUGAGAUUGCAGAGGUGAUAGCUAAGGUAAGGGGUAGUGCUUUUGUGGCUGUCUGGUAAGCUAAGAUCAAAUUUACAAAGGAUGUAGCCAAUGCGUGAUCCUGGAAUGUAGCUGGUUGGCGUGAAGCCCUAGCUAAAUUAACUGGCGAGUCUGUUAACACCAGUCAGGAUCAUGCAAAGCAGGUGAAGGUGGGAGGAAAGGAGGAAGAAGCAGAGAAGGUUCCUGAUGGUGAUUAUCAAACUGUGGUUUACAUUUGAUUAGUUAAAAAUACUUUUAGUAUUUUAGAUGUAAUAUAAUUAACUUUUUUCUUUUUUGAUAGGGUUGGUGGGUAAACUUUUUUUUUUCAAGUUAUGGUUGUUUUACUUCUUCU